GGGGACGUUCUGGAUUCGACAGGGGUAGGUCGAGCUUAAGUUGCGAGUCGAGCUGGGUGUCCUCGUAUAAAACGCCCAUCGCCUAUAGUUGGCAAAGAAGAUAACAACUUCGCUUUAGCAGCGGCGUAAAAACCCUGCUAGCGGUUCCUCCCUUCAUCGCCCAUGUGAAGGAUCAGGGACUCACUUAUAGUGGGAUACGCCAUGAAUCCACCACCUGAGGACGAUUGGAAGAGAUUAAUCAGGUUAGCCUCAUAGAAGCCUGUUAGUUGGCUGACGUGAUGGCGAAUUUCUAAUAAGCUAACUACGCUCGUAGACGCUUAAGUAUCGUUAUCUCUGGACGUGGGUUCGAUUCCCACCGUCUCCACCA
rnacentral:tmRNA from 1 species